UACGUAGGGUGCGAGCGUUGUCCGGAAUCAUUGGGCGUAAAGAGCGUGUAGGCGGCCUUUUAAGUCCUGCGUGAAAUCCUGCGGCUCAACCGCAGACGGUCGUGGGAAACUGGAAGGCUAGAGUGCGGGAGAGGAGAGUGGAAUUCCCGGUGUAGCGGUGAAAUGCGCAGAUAUCGGGAAGAACACCCGUGGCGAAGGCGGCUCUCUGGAACGCAACUGACGCUGAGACGCGAAAGCGUGGGGAGCAAACGGG
rnacentral:rRNA from 1 species